rnacentral:tRNA from 1 species
GCGCUUGAGAAAAGCCAUUUUUCAGCGGCCUUCUAAGCUGCUGGUCGCUGGUUCGAAUCCAGCCGGGCUCG